GAGUUUGAUCGUGGCUCAGAUUGAACGCUGGCGGCAUGCCUUACACAUGCAAGUCGAACGGCAGCACGGGAGCUUGCUCCUGGUGGCGAGUGGCGAACGGGUGAGUAAUGCAUCGGAACGUAGUCCUGGAGUGGGGGAUAACGUAGCGAAAGUUACGCUAAUACCGCAUAUUCUGUGAGCAGGAAAGCGGGGACCUUCGGGCCUCGCGCUCUUGGAGCGGCCGAUGUCGGAUUAGCUAGUUGGUGAGGUAAAGGCUCACCAAGGCGACGAUCCGUAGCAGGUCUGAGAGGAUGAUCUGCCACACUGGAACUGAGACACGGUCCAGAC
rnacentral:rRNA from 1 species